rnacentral:rRNA from 1 species
UACGGAGGAUCCGAGCGUUAUCCGGAUUUAUUGGGUUUAAAGGGUGCGCAGGCGGAAGAUUAAGUCGGUGGUGAAAUUUUGCAGCUCAACUGUAAAAGUGCCAUUGAUACUGGUUUUCUUGAGUGUGGAUGAAGUAGGCGGAAUUUGUGGUGUAGCGGUGAAAUGCAUAGAUAUCACGAGGAACUCCGAUUGCGCAGGCAGCUUACUAAACUACUACUGACGCUCAGGCACGAACGCGUGGGGAUCAAACAGGAUUAGAUACCCU